GUGGACUUUACCCAGGAAGAAUGGAAGACAAUGGACAAUACUCAGCAGACUCUGUACAGAGAGGUGAUGCUUGAGACCUAUAACAAUCUGCUGUCCUUGGGGUACUCCAUGACAAAGCCUGAUGUGAUCUUCAAGUUGGAGCAAGAAUCAGCACCAUGGACAGUGGGGGAAUCUGUGAAACAGAGACUUCCAGAUCCCCAUGGAAAGAAUGAGCUGCUUGGAGCUAAUCAGAAAGGUCAAGAAAUAAUCUUCAGGC